rnacentral:rRNA from 1 species
ACGAACGCUGGCGGCACGCUUAACACAUGCAAGUCGAACGAGAGAAGAGAAGCUUGCUUUUCUGAUCUAGUGGCGGACGGGUGAGUAACACGUGAGCAAUCUGCCUUUCAGAGGGGGAUACCGAUUGGAAACGAUCGUUAAUACCGCAUAACAUAAUUGAACCGCAUGAUUUGAUUAUCAAAGAUUUAUCGCUGAAAGAUGAGCUCGCGUCUGAUUAGCUAGUUGGUAAGGUAACGGCUUACCAAGGCGACGAUCAGUAGCCGGACUGAGAGGUUGAUCGGCCACAUUGGGACUGAGACACGGCCCAGACUCCUACGGGAGGCAGCAGUGGGGAAUAUUGCACAAUGGAGGAAACUCUGAUGCAGCGAUGCCGCGUGAGGGAAGAAGGUUUUAGGAUUGUAAACCUCUGUCUUCAGGGACGAAAAAAGACGGUACCUGAGGAGGAAGCUCCGGCUAACUACGUGCCAGCAGCCGCGGUAAUACGUAGGGAGCGAGCGUUGUCCGGAAUUACUGGGUGUAAAGGGAGCGUAGGCGGGAUCGCAAGUCAGAUGUGAAAACUAUGGGCUUAACCCAUAAACUGCAUUUGAAACUGUGGUUCUUGAGUGAAGUAGAGGUAAGCGGAAUUCCUAGUGUAGCGGUGAAAUGCGUAGAUAUUAGGAGGAACAUCAGUGGCGAAGGCGGCUUACUGGGCUUUAACUGACGCUGAGGCUCGAAAGCGUGGGGAGCAAACAGGAUUAGAUACCCUGGUAGUCCACGCCGUAAACGAUGAUUACUAGGUGUGGGGGGACUGACCCCUUCCGUGCCGCAGCAAACGCAAUAAGUAAUCCACCUGGGGAGUACGACCGCAAGGUUGAAACUCAAAGGAAUUGACGGGGGCCCGCACAAGCAGUGGAGUAUGUGGAUUAAUUCGAAGCAACGCGAAGAACCUUACCAGGUCUUGACAUCGUAUGCAUAGCUCAGAGAUGAGUGAAAUCUCUUCGGAGACAUAUAGACAGGUGGUGCAUGGUUGUCGUCAGCUCGUGUCGUGAGAUGUUGGGUUAAGUCCCGCAACGAGCGCAACCCUUACUGUUAGUUGCUACGCAAGAGCACUCUAGCAGGACUGCCGUUGACAGAACGGAGGAAGGUGGGGAUGACGUCAAAUCAUCAUGCCCCUUAUGACCUGGGCCUCACACGUACUACAAUGGCUGUCAACAGAGGGAAGCAAAGCCGCGAGGUGGAGCAAACCCCUAAAAGCAGUCUUAGUUCGGAUUGUAGGCUGCAACCCGCCUACAUGAAGUCGGAAUUGCUAGUAAUCGCAGAUCAGCAUGCUGCGGUGAAUACGUUCCCGGGCCUUGUACACACCGCCCGUCACGCCAUGGGAGUCGGUAACACCCGAAGCCUGUAGUCUAACCGCAAGGAGGACGCAGUCGAAGGUGGGAUUGAUGACUGGGGUG